rnacentral:tRNA from 1 species
GAGGGUAUAGCUCUAGUGGUAGAGCACAUGCUUAGCAUACACAAGGUCCUGGGUUCAAUCCCCAGUACCUCCU